AAUAUUGGACAAUGGGCGAAAGCCUGAUCCAGCAAUGCCGCGUGAGUGAUGAAGGCCCUAGGGUUGUAAAGCUCUUUUACCAGGGAUGAUAAUGACAGUACCUGGAGAAUAAGCUCCGGCUAACUCCGUGCCAGCAGCCGCGGUAAUACGGAGGGGGCUAGCGUUGUUCGGAAUUACUGGGCGUAAAGCGCGCGUAGGGGGCCUGUCAAGUCAGGGGUGAAAGCCCGGGGCUCAACCCCGGAAUUGCCUUUGAAACUGGCAGGCUAGAAUCUUGGAGAGGUCAGUGGAAUUCCGAGUGUAGAGGUGAAAUUCGUAGAUAUUCGGAGGAACACCGAUGGCGAAGGCAGCCCCCUGGGAUAAUACUGACGCUCAGACACGAAAGCGUGGGGAGCAAACAG
rnacentral:rRNA from 1 species